rnacentral:rRNA from 3 species
GGACUACCGGGGUUUCUAAUCCCGUUUGCUCCCCUGGCUUUCGUGCCUCAGCGUCAGUUGAGACCCAGUGUGUCGCUUUCGCCACCGGCGUUCCUUCCGAUAUCAACACAUUUCACCGCUCCACCGGAAGUUCCACACACCCCUGCCUCACUCCAGCCAUCCAGUUUAGGGCGCAAUUCCCCGGUUGAGCCGGGGGCUUUCACACCCUACUUAGACAGCCGCCUACGCACCCUUUAAGCCCAGUGAUUCCGAAUAACGUUUGCACAGUUCGUAUUACCGCGGCGGCUGGCAC